GGGUAACAGGAUGUAGCAAUACAUUGCUGACGACCGGCGCACUGGGUGAGUAACGCGUAUGCAACCUGUCCGUUACAGGGGGAUAGCCCAUGGAAACGUGGAUUAACACUCCAUAAUAUAAUAUAGAGGCAUCUUUGUAUUAUUAAAUAUUCAUAGGUAACGGUUGGGCAUGCGUCCUAUUAGAUAGUUGGGGGGGUAACGGCCCACCAAGUCGAUGAUAGGUAGGGGUUCUGAGAGGAAGGUCCCCCACACUGGUACUGAGACACGGACCAGACUCCUACGGGAGGCAGCAGUGAGGAAUAUUGGUCAAUGGGCGAGAGCCUGAACCAGCCAAGUCGCGUGAGGGAUGACUGCCCUAUGGGUUGUAAACCUCUUUUGUAUGGGGGGAAUAAGCUUUACGAGUAGAGUGAUGACAGUACCAUACGAAUAAGCAUCGGCUAACUCCGUGCCAGCAGCCGCGGUAAUACGGAGGAUGCGAGCGUUAUCCGGAUUUAUUGGGUUUAAAGGGUGCGUAGGCGGCAUUAUAAGUUAGUGGUAAAAUAUUGGGGCUUCACCUCACUACGCCAUUAAUACUGUAGAGCUAGAGAACAGACGAGGUAGGCGGAAUAAGUUAAGUAGCGGUGAAAUGCAUAGAUAUAACUUAGAACACCGAUAGCGAAGGCAGCUUACCAGACUGAGUCUGACGCUGAUGCACGAGAGCAUGGGUAGCG
rnacentral:rRNA from 1 species